CCUACGGGGGGCAGCAGUAGGGAAUCUUUCACAAUGGGCGAAAGCCUGAUGGAGCAACGCCGCGUGCAGGAUGAAGGCCUUCGGGUUGUAAACUGCUUUUAUAAGCGAGAAAUAUGAUGGUAACUUAUGAAUAAGGAUCGGCUAACUACGUGCCAGCAGCCGCGGUCAUACGUAGGAUCCGAGCAUUAUCCGGAGUGACUGGGUGUAAAGAGUUGCGUAGGUGGCAUAAUAAGUAGCUAGUGAAAUCUGGUGGCUCAACCAUUCAGACUAUUAGCUAAACUGUUAAGCUCGAGACCGUUAGGGGUAACUGGAAUUUCUAGUGUAGGAGUGAAAUCCGUAGAUAUUAGAAGGAACACCAAUAGCGUAGGCAGGUUGCUGGGACGAUUCUGACACUAAGGCACGAAAGCGUAGGGAGCAAACGGGAUUAGAUACCCCAGUAGUC
rnacentral:rRNA from 1 species